rnacentral:tRNA from 1 species
UGGCUCAGACAGUAAAGCAUCUGCCCGUAACGCAGGAGACCCAGGUUCGAUCCCUGG